UUUCCGUAGGUGAACCUGCGGAAGGAUCAUUAAAGUUAUAGUCCCCCGGCCCUCUGGCUGGGGUCUUCUAUACCACCCUUUGUUUAUUACACCUUUGUUGCUUUGGCAGGCCUGCCCUCGGGCUGCUGGCUCCGGCCGGCUCGCGUCUGCCAGAGGACCUAAACUCUGUUUGUAUAUGAAGUCUGAGUACUAUAUAAUGGUUAAAACUUUCAACAACGGAUCUCUUGGUUCUG
rnacentral:misc_RNA from 1 species